CUCUGUGACUCCUACGGGAGGCAGCAGUGGGGAAUAUUGCACAAUGGGGGAAACCCUGAUGCAGCCAUGCCGCGUGUGUGAAGAAGGCCUUCGGGUUGUAAAGCACUUUCAGUAGGGAGGAAGGUAGUGUAGUUAACACCUGCAUUAUUUGACGUUACCUACAGAAGAAGCACCGGCUAACUCCGUGCCAGCAGCCGCGGUAAUACGGAGGGUGCGAGCGUUAAUCGGAAUUACUGGGCGUAAAGCGCAUGCAGGCGGCUUGUUAAGUCAGAUGUGAAAGCCCGGGGCUUAACCUCGGAAUUGCAUUUGAAACUGGCAGGCUAGAGUCUUGUAGAGGGGGUAGAAUUUCAGGUGUAGCGGUGAAAUGCGUAGAGAUCUGAAGGAAUACCAGUGGCGAAGGCGGCCCCCUGGACAAAGACUGACGCUCAGAUGCGAAAGCGUGGGGAGCAAACAGGAUUAGAUACCCUGGUGG
rnacentral:rRNA from 1 species